UGAAACUGCCGAAGAAACAGCAAUCGUUGCUGUAGCGACUGUAGCAGUCCAGUGCUCAACCACAGAUGGAGGAAAAUAGACAUCUACGGCACCCACUCUUCCAUGGUGAGAGCAGCAGAAGGAAAAAGACCUCACCCUUCUGAUGUCAAUGGCAGAAGGUCAAACGCAUCCCAGCACAUCGAGGGAGAUAAGAGGAAUCUGUCUGGCAGAGAAACCCAGAAAAUUGUACCAAGCUGUUCACCAUCAAAAUAAGGCAUAUCCGAAGAGCAGUUGAGAUGAAAAAAAAGUGUAUUGGGGAAAGGAAAACCAGAAUCACGUAGCAGAAUGCAGAAAAAUCUGCUGGCAAGAAGCCUGGUCAGAAAAGAUAGGCAGUGCUCAGCUAUCACUUCCAAGCCACUGGCUGAGGGAGCGGGGGUUGAUUUUAGGGGAUGGAUCUUAAGAACAUCAAAAGCAGGGACUAGAUGUCUGAGGCAGACCCAGAAAAGCAUUUGAGGACAGCCCAAAUCCUUGAUCAGCUGCAAGUAUAUUAAAUGCUGUCAGAGUUUCACCCUG